rnacentral:rRNA from 1 species
UGCAGUCGAACGGUGAAGCUCCNGCUUGCUGGAGUGGAUCAGUGGCGAACGGGUGANUAACACGUGAGCAACCUGCCCCGGACUCUGGGAUAAGCGCUGGAAACGGCGUCUAAUACCGGAUACGCACCAGAAUCGCAUGGUUACUGGUGGGAAAGAUUUUUUGGUUCGGGAUGGGCUCGCGGCCUAUCAGCUUGUUGGUGAGGUAACGGCUCACCAAGGCGUCGACGGGUAGCCGGCCUGAGAGGGUGACCGGCCACACUGGGACUGAGACACGGCCCAGACUCCUACGGGAGGCAGCAGUGGGGAAUAUUGCACAAUGGGCGGAAGCCUGAUGCAGCAACGCCGCGUGAGGGAUGACGGCCUUCGGGUUGUAAACCUCUUUUAGCAGGGAAGAAGCGAAAGUGACGGUACCUGCAGAAAAAGCGCCGGCUAACUACGUGCCAGCAGCCGCGGUAAUACGUAGGGCGCAAGCGUUAUCCGGAAUUAUUGGGCGUAAAGAGCUCGUAGGCGGUCUGUCGCGUCUGCUGUGAAAACCCGAGGCUCAACCUCGGGCCUGCAGUGGGUAC